rnacentral:rRNA from 1 species
GAUAACGCUGGCGGCGUGCCUAACACAUGCAAGUCGAACGCCCUUUGUCUCGCAAGAGAGGGAGGGAGUGGCGGACGGGUGAGUAACACAUGGGUGACCUACCCCGCAGUGAGGAAUACCGGCGAGAAAUCGCCGACAAGACCGCAUAGGCUCUCUUUGGUCGAGCCAAGAGAGCAAAGUCUCACACGAGACGCUGAGGGAUGGGCCUGUGGCCGAUUAGCUAGUUGGGGGGGUAAAAGCCUCCCAAGGCCACGAUCGGUAGCUGGUCUGAGAGGACGAACAGCCACACUGGGAUUGAGAACGGCCCAGACUCCUACGGGGGGCAGCAGUGAGGAAUUUUCCGCAAUGGGCGCAAGCCUGACGGAGCAACGCCGCGUGCAGGAAGACGCUUUUCGGAGUGUAAACUGCUUUUCUGUGGGACGAGGAUGGACGGUACCACAGGAAGAAGCCCCGGCUAACUACGUGCCAGCAGCCGCGGUAAUACGUAGGGGGCGAGCGUUGUCCGGAGUUACUGGGCGUAAAGGGCAUGCAGGCGGUCGGACGCGUUUCGGGUGACAGCGGGUGGCUUAACUACCCGAGCGGUCGAAAGACGGUUCGACUUGAGGACGCGAGAGGGACACGGAAUUCCGGGUGGAGUGGUGAAAUGCGUA